UGGGGAAUUUUGGACAAUGGGCGAAAGCCUGAUCCAGCAAUGCCGCGUGUGUGAAGAAGGCCUUCGGGUUGUAAAGCACUUUUGUCCGGAAAGAAAUCCUUGGCUCUAAUACAGUCGGGGGAUGACGGUACCGGAAGAAUAAGCACCGGCUAACUACGUGCCAGCAGCCGCGGUAAUACGUAGGGUGCAAGCGUUAAUCGGAAUUACUGGGCGUAAAGCGUGCGCAGGCGGUUUGCUAAGACCGAAUGUGAAAAUCCCCGGGCUCAACCUGGGAAACUGCAUUGGUGACUGGCAGGCUAGAGUAUGGCAGAGGGGGGUAGAAUUCCACGUGUAGCAGUGAAAAUGCGUAGAGAUGUGGAGGAAUACCGAUGGCGAAAGGCAGCCCCCUGGGCCAAAUACUGACGCUCAUGC
rnacentral:rRNA from 1 species